rfam:Gossypium raimondii Chr07_contig_802, whole genome shotgun sequence.
AUCCCAUGAUGAGGGCACUUACGAAGUAAUUCUUUAAAUCUCUCCCAUGCCUCAUACAAAGAUUCGUCAUCCAAUUGUUGACAAGUGGUUAUUUCAUUUUGCAACU